rnacentral:tRNA from 1 species
GCCGAGCCUGGCCAAAGAGGCUAGAAUAUUGGAAGCGCGGGACUUAAGAUCUGGAUGGGUGAUCCCGUCCCUCAGGGGUUCGUGGGUUCAAAUCCCAC